UACGGAGGGUGCAAGCGUUAUCCGGAUUUACUGGGUUUAAAGGGUGCGUAGGUGGGUUGGUAAGUCAGUGGUGAAAUACUUUCGCUUAACGAAGGAACUGCCAUUGAUACUACCAGUCUUGAAUACAGUGGAGGUAGGCGGAAUGCGUCAUGUAGCGGUGAAAUGCUUAGAUAUGACAUAGAACACCAAUUGCGAAGGCAGCUUGCUACAGGGAUAUUGACACUGAGGCACGAAAGCGUGGGGAUCAAACAGG
rnacentral:rRNA from 1 species